UAACAUAGUCUGGGUAGCCCUUGUAUACAUUAUAACAUAGUCUGGGUAGCCCUGGUAUAUGUUAUAACAUAUUCUGGGUAGCCCUGGUAUAUGCUAUAACAUAGUCUAGGUAGCCUUGUAUACAUUAUUACAUAGUCUGGGUAGCCCUGGUAUACACUAUAACAUAGUCUAGGUAGCCCUGGUAUACGUUAUAACAUAGUCUGGGUAGCCCUGGUAUAUGCUAUAACAUAGUCUAGGUAGCCCUUGUAUACAUUAUAACAUAUUCUGGGUAGCCCUGGUAUACGUUAUAACAUGUUCUGGGUAGCCCUGGUAUACACUAUAACAUAGUCUAGGUAGCCAUGGUAUACGUUAUAACAUAGUCUGGGUAGCCCUGGUAUACAUUAUAACAUAGUCUAGGUAGCCCUGGUAUAAGUUAUAACAUAGUCUGGGUAGCCCUGGUAUACGUUAUAACAUGUUCUGGGUAGCCCUGGUAUACACUAUAACAUAGUCUAGGUAGCCAUGGUAUACGUUAUAACAUAGUCUGGGUAGGCCUGGUAUACAUUAUAACAUAGUCUAGGUAGCCCUGGUAUACGUUUUAACAUAGUCUGGGUAGCCCUGGUAUAUGCUAUAACAUAGUCUAGGUGGCCCUUGUAUACAUUAUAACAUAUUCUGGGUAGCCCUUGUAUACAUUAUAACAUAGUCUAGGUAGCCCUGGUAUAAGUUAUAACAUAGUCAAGGUAGCCCUGGUAUACACUAUAACAUAUUCUGGGUAGUCCUGGUAUUCAUUAUAACAUAGUCUAGGUAGCCCUGGUAUAAGUUAUAACAUAGUCAAGGUAGCCCUGGUAUACACUAUAACAUAUUCUGGGUAGCCCUGGUAUAUGCUAUAACAUAGUCUAGGUAGCUCUUGUAUACAUUAUAACAUAUUCUGGGUAGCUCUGGUAUACGUUACAACAUAUUCUGGGUAGCCCUGGUAUAUGUUAUAACAUAGUCUGGGUAGCCCUGGUAUACGUUAUAACAUAUUCUGGGUAGCC